CUGGCCAGAAACUCAGAAUCAGAUGGGUCCCCACGUCUGUGUUUUAAAAGUCACUCCGGACUUCUCCAGGGGACAGCCCUGUGCUUCCAGGGCCUGCAGGAUCACACAGAAUCUAGCCUGGCCACUUCUGUUCAACGUGAUUGUUUGAGAGAGGCAUCCGUGCUAUGCAUAACUGCAAUUCACCUGUCUUCACUGCUGCGUAAGAGUCCUGUGAUGGGAUACUGUCUUCACUGCUGCGUAAGAGUCCAGUGAUGGGAUACUGUCUUCACUGCUGCAUAACAGUCCAGUGAUGGGAUACUGUCUUCACUGCUGCGUAAGAGUCCAGUGAUGGGAUACUGUCUUCACUGCUGCGUUAGAGUCCAGUGAUGGGAUACUGUCUUCACUGCUGCGUAAGAGUCCAGUGAUGG